rnacentral:rRNA from 1 species
AGAGUUUGAUCCUGGCUCAGGAUUAACGCUGGCGGUGUGUCUAAUACAUGCAAGUCGCGCGAGGGUUCGACCCGAGCGGCGGACGAGCGAGUAACACGUUGGAACCCACCCCGAACUCAGGGAUAACACCUAGAAAUAGGUGCUAAUACCGGAUAGUCUCGAAAGAGUAAAGCUACGGCGGUUUGGGAGGGGCCUGCGGCCUAUCAGUUAGUUGGCGAGGUAACGGCUCACCAAGACUAUGACGGGUAACUGGUCUGAGAGGACGACCAGUCGCGAUGGGACUGAGAUACGGCCCAUACUCCUACGGGAGGCAGCAGUAAGGAAUCUUCCGCAAUGGACGAAAGUCUGACGGAGCAACACCGCGUGAUUGAUGAAGCCCUUCGGGGUGUAAAGAUCUUUUCUGAGAGAAGAAUUAUGACGGUAUCUUAGGAAUAAGCACCGGCUAACUCUGUGCCAGCAGCCGCGGUAAUACGGAGGGUGCGAGCGUUAAUCGGAAUUACUGGGCGUAAAGCGUGCGUAGGCGGUUCGUUAAGUCAGAUGUGAAAGCCCUGGGCUCAACCUGGGAACGGCAUUUGAAACUGGCGGACUAGAGUUUAGUAGAGGGGAGUGGAAUUUCAGGUGUAGCGGUGAAAUGCGUAGAUAUCUGAAGGAACACCAGUGGCGAAGGCGACUCCCUGGACUAGAACUGACGCUGAGGUACGAAAGCGUGGGUAGCAAACAGGAUUAGAUACCCUGGUAGUCC